rnacentral:rRNA from 1 species
GACGAACGCUGGCGGCGUGCCUAAUACAUGCAAGUAGAACGCUGAAGAGAGGAGCUUGCUCUUCUUGGAUGAGUUGCGAACGGGUGAGUAACGCGUAGGUAACCUGCCUGGUAGCGGGGGAUAACUAUUGGAAACGAUAGCUAAUACCGCAUAAAAUUGAUUAUUGCAUGAUAAUUAAUUGAAAGAUGCAAUUGCAUCACUACCAGAUGGACCUGCGUUGUAUUAGCUAGUUGGUGAGGUAACGGCUCACCAAGGCGACGAUACAUAGCCGACCUGAGAGGGUGAUCGGCCACACUGGGACUGAGACACGGCCCAGACUCCUACGGGAGGCAGCAGUAGGGAAUCUUCGGCAAUGGGGGGAACCCUGACCGAGCAACGCCGCGUGAGUGAAGAAGGUUUUCGGAUCGUAAAGCUCUGUUGUAAGAGAAGAACGGGUGUGAGAGUGAAAAGUUCACACUGUGACCGGUUUCUACCAGA